UGGUUCUGGCAUCGAUGAAGAACGCAGCGAAAUGCGAUAAGUAAUGUGAAUUGCAGAAUUCAGUGAAUCAUCGAAUCUUUGAACGCACAUUGCGCCCUCUGGUAUUCCGGAGGGCAUGCCUGUUCGAGCGUCAUUACAACCCUCAAGCUCUGCUUGGUCUUGGGCGUCACCGGUAACGGUGUGCCCUAAAAUCAGUGGCGGCGCCGUCUGGCUCUAAGCGUAGUACAACUCUCGCUAUAGGUGCCCGGCGGAUGCUGGCCAGCAACCCCCAUUCUAUCAGGUUGACCUCGGAUCAGGUAGGGAUACCCGCUGA
rnacentral:misc_RNA from 1 species